CAGCCGUUCAGCUAUCUUCUAUAUAGUUUGAGCUGGCACUCAUCACUUCAGUUUAUUUGCGGCGGCCUUAGCAGGCUGCCCGGCAUUUGAGCUUGAUCUUUGCUAUUUUUCUCUCUGAAAAUAGUAGGUGGAGAUCAGACUUGUUAUAGCGCCUGUUGUUUUGAUAGGCCUGUAUCUGCUGGCCAGGCUAGGACUACGUUUGCGUAUGGUUAUGUGAAGUUAAAUCCCCAUAUGUAUUUUAGUUUUGGCCUUCUCCUGAGGGAGUGGCCAGUAUCUGUUUGCCCAAAUUGUCCCCUUGCUUAUGUAGGUGCAAUCAUGAGUUUAACAGCUAGGUUGUAGACUGUUUUGUUAAAAAAAACCUGAUGCUGUUUUCUCAGGUGGUAGGCCCUUAUCUUUGAGCAGAUAAAGGUGGCAAUAUAUGUUUGCUAGGCCCCACUCUCUAGAACUUUUAUGCUGUGAGAAAAAUUGUUCUCUUCCGAGCUACUUGAUUUCUUUCAAGUUUGAGUUGACGUUGCAGUUAGCUCCGUCCUCUAGGCUUGGAGCAGAUUUGAGAAUCAAUUCCUUUGAAGUUCUAGAGGUUUGCCCUACAUUUGUAUGUGAGCUUAUUAUGCUGCCACAGGUUGGCACCUGCUUAUGUAUAGUAGGCCCUUUUUGAGGAAAGCAUGGCCGCUAUCUAAGUGUUUGGUGACCCCUUUAAGCCCCAGCUAGGAGAGUUUUUGGUGUCACUGAGUGCAUCACCUGUUGGAUUGCAUACUCAGGGUAGCUAGAUCACUUUUUGAAUAAAGUGUGUAUAUUCAGCUCCCUUUUCAGUUAUCUGUUUAUCAGCUAUAUUGCAUAUACGGUGAUUGUAGGCUAGAUUGUUCAGCCUCUUUCUAGUUAGCAAUAAUGUUGUAUUGGCUGUUUAAUGGAUAUCAGUUGCUCACAUACUGUUUUGUUCUGUUUUUUAACACUGCUUCAGGCCCUGCAGCAUGUUUGUUUGAGGUGGUAGGCUUAAUUAGCCUCCCUUAGACCAUGUUGGUUGUAUUGGUUCCCUUUAGUCACAGAACUUAGGGUACUUUGCCUGUUUGGAAAGUGUAGCCUAGCAUAGGUAGUAGUUAACUUCCCAUAGUUAGUGGGUUAGAGCUGGUUCCCUGUAGCUUGGUUCCCUGGAAAUUCACGAGCUGAAGCCACAUGUCAUUGAAUCGGCAGGCCCCUUCAGGCCUCCUUUUUAGUUUACAUGUUGGCACAGAUUGUGUUUUUUCUGUGCGGCUCAGAAUGAGAUAUCAGUAGUGAAACCUUACUGAGGUUUGGUUUAACCUAUUGUUGCCUCUUUGAGUCGAGGAUUCUAGUCGAGCUAAGAGCCACCUAGAGUUUAGGUUGGAUCUUGUGCUCCUGGAAACGGCAACGAGACUAACGCCAUGUGUUCUGAAGGAUGCUAAGCCUGCGGGCCACCUUUGUUGGAUACACUGGUGUUUGCUUAGGUGUAUUUCUCUCUGAGAACUAUUUCUAUACACUUCGUUGGCCAGGGGCCCAAGUGGUAGAUUCAACCCCCUCUUUUGCGGGUUGUUUAUGGGGGUAAAUUGAUGCCAAAACCAUUGAAAAUGGACAGACUAAAAGUCACAAAUAGAUAUUACAACUUGUAAACACAAAACACAAUCUACAAAUAGAUAAAAAAUCCGCAAACAAAGUCCUCAUGAUCCGCAAAUGUAAAACAAGAUCUACAAAUAGAUACAAAGUCCUCAAACAAACUCUUUGUGAUCCACAAAUAUAAAGCAUGAUCUACAAAAAGAUUAAACAUCCACAAAUAAACACAUCCUGAUUCACAAAUAGAAAUCAGUGACUUGUACUUGAAAACCAUGAAUUUGAAUGAAUGUAAAGUGACUUGUUUGCAGGUGAAGAUCAUGUUCUGUUUGUAGAUUGUGUCACAUUUGUUUUCAGAAUUCUGGCACUAUUGUUUCGCUGUUGUGACAAAAUAAUGCCAUAAUCUUUGAAAAUGAAGAGCCUAUGAGUCAAAAAUGCAUAUUACAAUUUGUAAACACAAAACAAGAUCUACAAAUAAAUUUAAAAUCUGCAAAUGUAAAACACAAUCUGUAAAUAGAUUCCAAAUCUGCAAACAAACUCCUCAUGAUCCGCAAAUGUAAUGUAGAUCUACAAAUAGAUAAAAAAUCCACAAACAGACUCUUCAUGAUUCACAAAUAGAAAUCAGUGACUUGUACUUGACAACCAGAAUUUGAAUGAAUGCAAAGAGAUUUGUCUGCGCACGAGGGUCAUUAUUUGUUUGUAGAUUGUGUUGCAUUUGUUUUCAGAAUUUUGGCACAGAUAUUUCGCUGUUUUUUCCAUUAAAAAAUCUACAAAUGCCCUCCUCACAAUUUGCAAACAAACACGGUCUAACUUGUAUUUUCAAACCACUGUAAAAAGACAUUCAUACACAUUCUGUGCAAAGCUCAGCGUGCAAGUGUUGAAUCUGUGUUUGCAGAUCACAGGGCAUUCACAGAUCCCUCUGCACACGUCUACAGAUCUUUUUGGCACUAUCUUUCCGCAGAGUGUGUGACUACGAUCCACACGUGUAGUCAGCCAAUCAGGGGUAUUGCUUCAAUGUGAUGUCACGCCCCCUCAAUAAGCCCUUUUCAAAAUAAGAGCGGACACUUCUCUGAUGGGUGGGCUGGGCUCACUGCCAUUUACCGUUGGCGGUGUCACAGCGCUGACAGGCGGACAGAGCCUGGGUUGCUCACAAGAUGGGUUGUCAGAAUCCGGACCGGAGGUGGCCCAAUCUGUUUCCAGACCUGCCAAACUGCUCUGUGUGUGUGUGUGUGUGUGUGUGUGUGUUUGUUUCUCUGUUCUUUUAAGAACUUGAUGGCUUUAUCCAGUUUGUUAUUAAAUUUGUUAUAUAUAUUCCCCUCUAUAGUAUUUUCACUAACAGAAUAAAGGUUUUACAAAUCUACAGAAAUCUAGAAACUACAGUUAGUAGUUACAGGCAAAACGGUCUUUCCCCUCAGCUGUCACUGUGUUGCUGCCCGUUGUUGUGCCACGCAUGCUCAUCACACACUGGCAACUAUACACACUAUAUAGAUAGAUAGAUAUGUAACCAUCUAUCUAUAGAAGGAAGCAUAUAAAAUGAGCUAAACCUUAAACAUCUAGGCUACAGCAUUGAAAUCCAACAUGCACAUUAAUGCAGCUUCACAUUAAUACAGGAACAUCAUGGUUAUGAAACGCUGAUGGGAUCGUUAUACUGCAUUUUGACUUUUUACUGUUCAUAGUUUAGGUGAAUGUCACUACUACUUUCACUUAAGUAAGGUUUUCAAUGCAGGACUUUUGCAUGUCAUGUAGUGUUUUCACAGUCUGGUCGUACUACUUUUACUGAGGUAGUCUAAAGAAAGUGAAUACUAUUUCCACCCCUCUAAAAGAAAAAUUCCCUACAGAAACAGUCGACCAGGACACAUUGGAUAGAGGGAGAACAAGUCUGCACCGGCCUGUGGUUAUACAGACUUUCCAGAAAGAAA